CUCGCCAGCCACGACGCCAGCGCGGCCGGCCAGGAGAAGCUCUGUGAUCCGUGCUCCAUGGUCACCCUCCACCACCUCCCAAGAAUGAUGUUUGGCUGAACUGGGCAAGAACUGAAGCGAAGCUUAAUUAGCUUGGCUGACUGUUGUGGUUUGGUUGGUCACACUUGUUUAUUACCCACCCCUUUUAUAGUGAGAUGUGCCGUGGAGACGUGUGCUGGGGACGAGUUGCUUGGGGAUGAAGUCGCGGCGUGCGAGAUUUUCGAUUGGUCCGUGGACGACUCUCCGUCUCCCUCCGGUCGAGGUGGGGCAGUAAAGGUGAUGUGUGCACAAGGAACGUUCGGGCGUGUGUGCAGUGUCGACAGGUUCCUGGCUUGGGGAUGCUGAGGCUGAGCUGCCUGAAUGGAGGAAUUCAACUGCGUGUCCUGCGACUUCGAGUGCUCAAGGCUGGAAAAAAUGGCAGGUGUUGCUUGCUUGCUUGCUUCCUUCCAAGUGCCAGGUCUCCAAACCCUACGCAUGCUGAUUGAUCCCUCCGAGUUGCGACAUGUACUCCAUGAUGAUUGUUCAACAAGAAAAAUGCAACGUCUCUGUCGGUGUUACGACUGAGCGUCCUGAACGCACCUCUUUUCUAGCACGGGCAUCUCUGUCGAAGUUUUUUUUUUUUUUUGAAAAAGAAGGUUAGAGCCUCCUGCCUCUGCAUCAAUGAUGUAUAUGACCAUCUUCAUUAAUUAAUUAUUUGACACA
rnacentral:lncRNA from 1 species